UACAGGGGGGGCAAGCGUUGUUCGGAAUUACUGGGCGUAAAGGGCUCGUAGGUGGCCAACUAAGUCAGACGUGAAAUCCCUCAGCUUAACUGGGGAACUGCGUCUGAUACUGGAUGGCUUGAGUUUGGGAGAGGGAUGCGGAAUUCCAGGUGUAGCGGUGAAAUGCGUAGAUAUCUGGAGGAACACCGGUGGCGAAGGCGGCAUCCUGGACCAAUCCUGACACGGGGGAGCGAAGGCCGGGGAGCAAACGGG
rnacentral:rRNA from 1 species